AGAAUCAACGCUGGCGGCGUGCCUAACACAUGCAAGUCGAACGAGAAAGUGGAGCAAUCCACGAGUAAAGUGGCGCACGGGUGAGUAACACGUGAAUAAUCUACCUCCGAGUGGGGAAUAACUGAGAGAAAUCUUAGCUAAUACCGCAUAAUACCCACGGGUCAAAGCAGCAAUGCGCUUGGAGAGGAGUUCGCGGCCGAUUAGCUAGUUGGCGGGGUAAUGGCCCACCAAGGCGAUGAUCGGUA
rnacentral:rRNA from 1 species